UACGUAGGGUGCGAGCGUUAAUCGGAAUUACUGGGCGUAAAGUGUGCGCAGGCGGCCGAGCAAGUCGAGUGUGAAAGCCCCGAGCUUAACUUGGGAACUGCGCUCGAAACUACUUGGCUAGAGUGUGGCAGAGGGAGGUGGAAUUCCACGUGUAGCGGUGAAAUGCGUAGAGAUGUGGAGGAACACCGAUGGCGAAGGCAAUCCCCUGGGCCUGCACUGACGCUCAUGCACGAAAGCGUGGGGAGCAAACAGG
rnacentral:rRNA from 1 species